GCUCGAUGGUGCGAAAUUUAGCACUGAUUCGUAAUCAGUAGGUCGGUGGUUCGAGUCCACUCAACAGCACCA
rnacentral:tRNA from 1 species